rnacentral:rRNA from 1 species
CGUAACAAGGUCUCCGUAGGUGAACCUGCGGAGGGAUCAUUACACAAAUAUGAAGGCGGGCUGGAACCUCUCGGGGUUACAGCCUUGCUGAAUUAUUCACCCUUGUCUUUUGCGUACUUCUUGUUUCCUUGGUGGGUUCGCCCACCACUAGGACAAACAUAAACCUUUUGUAAUUGCAAUCAGCGUCAGUAACAAAUUAAUAAUUACAACUUUCAACAACGGAUCUCUUGGUUCUGGCAUCGAUGAAGAACGCAGCGAAAUGCGAUAAGUAGUGUGAAUUGCAGAAUUCAGUGAAUCAUCGAAUCUUUGAACGCACAUUGCGCCCUUUGGUAUUCCAAAGGGCAUGCCUGUUCGAGCGUCAUUUGUACCCUCAAGCUUUGCUUGGUGAUGGGCGUCUUGUCUCUAGCUUUGCUGGAGACUCGCCUUAAAGUAAUUGGCAGCCGGCCUACUGGUUUCGGAGCGCAGCACAAGUCGCACUCUCUAUCAGCAAAGGUCUAGCAUCCAUUAAGCCUUUUUUUCAACUUUUGACCUCGGAUCAGGUAGGGAUACCCGCUGAACU